UUUUUUAUUUUUACUAAUCGGAUGGAAAAUUACAAUUCUGGUUCAUCCUUUAUUUUUAAGGAUAAUUUAAGCAUUAAGGUAUACCUUGUUCUUUUCAAAUAUUUUUCAUGUUUGAAAACAGCUUUUAAACCUCAUUUGUCAUGCAAUAUCUGAUUAUAUCUUCGACAAAGUCAGAUCAUUGACAUGUUUAAUUACCCAAAAACCAGCUUUAAAUAAGAUUUUCAGUUUAUUUAGAAGACCAGUAUGUGGUGAGGUGGUAUAGGUCUAGCGCUAUUCGAGGAUUAGAAAAAAGUCUACCAUGGAUUUUCGCACGAUUAUUUUUCAUUAUAUAGCUGCUCUGGUUCUUAUUUUUCUCAUUUUAACAUCAGUAACAGAGAGCGCAUGCGUUCAGACAACACAAGCACCAACGACGCAAGCUCCAACUACAACACCAUUUAUACCAGUACCAUAAAAGAAACAUGGAGAUAAUGGCGUAUGAAAACACCAUUUUGGAUGUCAAAGAUGCUUGCGUGAAAGAAAUGUCAUCUAUGAUGUGCAAACAAUAAAAAAAAAUAAA